rnacentral:lncRNA from 14 species
GAGGCAAGUUCAUCAAAUGUGGGAUGCACAACAAAUCCACUCUGGGCGCUGUCUCUGUUUCACCACGUGCCAUGAAUUCAGCAAUUCAUCACUGCCUGAAGCUUUCCUGACUUCCCUGGCAUUUGCAGGAAGGUGCAUGGUCACCCUGUGGAAGCAGAUCUCCAGGAGAGCCAUCCACCUCAUCCCUGGUGAGCACAUCCAGGUUCCUCCAGUUUUCCAGCAGCACAGCUUGCUGGUGGCUGCUGGGCUCCGAGGGGGAGCACUGCAAGUGUCCUGGGUGUGACCUUUCCACCCCAGAUGUCACCUCAGGGUCACAGCAAACACCUCGAGGCCUCUCUGGCCUGU